UCAAAUAUAAUAUUAAAAACAUAAAAUUAUUUAGCAUAAUAUCACAGCAGAAAAUAUCAGAAUAAAUAACUUUUAAAAAUUGGGGCUUAUUUUGAAAUUCCUUGUAGUGGAGGGACCUCUUUAGUUAUUACGCUUUACCAUGUAUUAAAACGUGAAACAAAACCAAAAAUGCCUUCCCUAAAAUUUUUUUUUGAGAAAUAGGUAGCACGCUACCCGCUUCGUUUAUUUUAUUUAGAAAUAAACUUAGCUGAAAAUGUGAAUCAACUAGGAUUCGAACUUGGGUCUCGAAUACCAACCAUCAAGCACUUUGCCACUUACUUUAGGUGCCUUUCCUGAAACUGUUGAUGGAGAAAUGUAUCUGAUGUAAUAAUAAUAUAAUUUCUCAAACAAUA
rnacentral:lncRNA from 1 species